UAGGGAAUCUUCCGCAAUGGGCGAAAGCCUGACGGAGCAACACCGCGUGAGUGAUGAAGGUCUUCGGAUCGUAAAACUCUGUUAUUAGGGAAGAACAAAUGUGUAAGUAACUAUGCACGUCUUGACGGUACCUAAUCAGAAAGCCACGGCUAACUACGUGCCAGCAGCCGCGGUAAUACGUAGGUGGCAAGCGUUAUCCGGAAUUAUUGGGCGUAAAGCGCGCGUAGGCGGUUUUUUAAGUCUGAUGUGAAAGCCCACGGCUCAACCGUGGAGGGUCAUUGGAAACUGGAAAACUUGAGUGCAGAAGAGGAAAGUGGAAUUCCAUGUGUAGCGGUGAAAUGCGCAGAGAUAUGGAGGAACACCAGUGGCGAAGGCGACUUUCUGGUCUGUAACUGACGCUGAUGUGCGAAAGCGUGGGGAUCAAACAGG
rnacentral:rRNA from 1 species